rnacentral:rRNA from 1 species
UACAGAGGUCUCGAGCGUUAGGCGGAAUCACUGGGCUUAAAGCGUGUGUAGGUGGAUCGUUAAGUACCUUGUGAAAUCCCACGGCUUAACCGUGGAACUGCUCGGUAUACUGGCGGUCUUGAGCCACUUAGGGGCUACCGGAACAAAUGGUGGAGCGGUGAAAUGCGUAGAUAUCAUUUGGAACGCCAAUGGUGAAAACAGGUAGCUGGGAGUGUGCUGACACUGAGACACGAAAGCCAGGGGAGCAAACGGG